GACGAACCGAGCGAACGUUGUUCGGAAUCACUGGGCUUAAAGGGCGCGUAGGCGGGCCGUCAAGUCGAGGGUGAAAGCCCCCAGCUCAACUGGGGAAGUGCCCCCGAUACUGGCGGCCUCGAGGGAGGUAGGGGCGUGCGGAACUUCCGGUGGAGCGGUGAAAUGCGUAGAUAUCGGAAGGAACACCGGUGGCGAAAGCGGCGCGCUGGACCUCUUCUGACACUGAGGCGCGAAAGCCAGGGGAGCAAACGGG
rnacentral:rRNA from 1 species